GACGAACGCUGGCGGCGUGCUUAACACAUGCAAGUCGAACGGAAAGGCCCUGCUUUUGUGGGGUGCUCGAGUGGCGAACGGGUGAGUAACACGUGAGUAACCUGCCCUUGACUUUGGGAUAACUUCAGGAAACUGGGGCUAAUACCGGAUAGGAGCUCCUGCUGCAUGGUGGGGGUUGGAAAGUUUCGGCGGUUGGGGAUGGACUCGCGGCUUAUCAGCUUGUUGGUGGGGUAGUGGCUUACCAAGGCUUUGACGGGUAGCCGGCCUGAGAGGGUGACCGGCCACCUCGGGACUGAGAUACGCCCCAGACUCCGCCGGGAGGAAGCGAUCGGGAAGACUGCACGAUGAGAGGAGUCCUGCUGCAGCAAUGUAGCGUGCGGGAUGAAGGCCUUCGGGCUGUAGGCCGCUUUUAGCUGUAGCGUAGAGUGUGUGACGGUAAUGGGUAGAGGGGCAAGGGCUAGAUACAUG
rnacentral:rRNA from 1 species